rnacentral:rRNA from 1 species
ACUCCUACGGGAGGCAGCAGUGGGAAUAUUGCACAAUGGGCGCAAGCCUGAUGCAGCCAUGCCGCGUGUAAUGAAGAAGGCCUUCGGGUUGAUGAAAUGUACUUUCAGCAGUGAGGAAGGAUGGAGUCGUUAAUAGCGGCCUCAUUUGACGUUAGCUGCAGAAGAAGCACCGGCUAACUCCGUGCCAGCAGCCGCGGUAAUACGGAGGGUGCGAGCGUUAAUCGGAAUUACUGGGCGUAAAGCGCAUGCAGGUGGUUUGUUAAGUCAGAUGUGAAAGCCCGGGGCUCAACCUCGGAAUAGCAUUUGAAACUGGCAGACUAGAGUACUGUAGAGGGGGUGAGAAUUUCAGGUGUAGCGGUGAAAUGCGUAGAGAUCUGAAGGAAUACCGGUGGCGAAGGCGACCACCUGGCCAAUAACUGACACUGAGACGCGAAGGCGUGGGUAGCAAACGGGAUUAGAUACCCUGGUAGGCUCU